rnacentral:rRNA from 1 species
UACGUAGGAGGCAAGCGUUGUCCGGAAUUACUGGGCGUAAAGCGCGUGUAGGUGGUGGGACAAGUCUGCUGUGAAAGCGCCUGGCUUAACCGGGCGAGGUCGGCGGAAACUGUUCGACUCGAGGACGGUAGAGGGGGGUGGAAUUCCCGGUGUAGUGGUGAAAUGCGUAGAGAUCGGGAGGAACACCUGUGGCGAAGGCGGCCCCCUGGGCCGCCCUGACACUGAGACGCGAAGGCGUGGGGGAGCGAACGGGG